rnacentral:rRNA from 1 species
UACGUAGGGGGCUAGCGUUGUCCGGAAUCAUUGGGCGUAAAGAGCGUGUAGGCGGCCCGGUAAGUCCGCUGUGAAAGUCGGGGGCUCAACCCUCGAAUGCCGGUGGAUACUGUCGGGCUAGAGUGCGGAAGAGGCGAGUGGAAUUCCUGGUGUAGCGGUGAAAUGCGCAGAUAUCAGGAGGAACACCAAUUGCGAAGGCGCUCUACUGGGCCACAACUGACGCUGAGGGACGAAAGCUAGGGGAGCGAAAGGG